rnacentral:rRNA from 1 species
UGGGGAAUUUUGGACAAUGGGCGAAAGCCUGAUCCAGCAAUGCCGCGUGUGUGAAGAAGGCCUUCGGGUUGUAAAGCACUUUUGUCCGGGAAAGAAAUCCUUGGCUCUAAUACAGUCGGGGGAUGACGGUACCGGAAGAAUAAGCACCGGCUAACUACGUGCCAGCAGCCGCGGUAAUACGUAGGGUGCAAGCGUUAUCGGAAUUACUGGGCGUAAAGCGUGCGCAGGCGGUUUGCUAAGACCGAUGUGAAAUCCCCGGGCUCAACCUGGGAACUGCAUUGGUGACUGGCAGGCUAGAGUAUGGCAGAGGGGGGUAGAAUUCCACGUGUAGCAGUGAAAUGCGUAGAGAUGUGGAGGAAUACCGAUGGCGAAGGCAGCCCCCUGGGCCAAUACUGACGCUCAUGCACGAAAGCGUGGGGAGCAAACAGGAUUAGAUACCCUGGUAGUCCACGCCCUAAACGAUGUCAACUAGUUGUUGGGGAUUCAUUUCCUUAGUACGUAGCUAACGCGUGAAGUUGACCGCCUGGGGAGUACGGUCGCAAGAUUAAACUCAAGGAAUUGACGGGGUCAUAGCUG